CGGGAUCGCAAGACCUUGCGCUUUUGGAGCGGCCGAUGUCUGAUUAGCUAGUUGGUGAGGUAAAGGCUUACCAAGGCGACGAUCAGUAGUUGGUCUGAGAGGACGACCAGCCACACUGGGACUGAGACACGGCCCAGACUCCUACGGGAGGCAGCAGUGGGGAAUUUUGGACAAUGGGGGCAACCCUGAUCCAGCCAUGCCGCGUGAGUGAAGAAGGCCUUCGGGUUGUAAAGCUCUUUCAGUCGGAAAGAAACGGUCACGAUUAAUACUCACAAUCCAUGACGGUACCGGCAGAAGAAGCACCGGCUAACUACGUGCCAGCAGCCGCGGUAAUACGUAGGGUGCGAGCGUUAAUCGGAAUUACUGGGCGUAAAGCGUGCGCAGGCGGCUCCUUAAGUCAGA
rnacentral:rRNA from 1 species